UAAUCUAGACAUAGUCUUUUC
rnacentral:piRNA from 1 species